AGGCAGCCCAGCCGCAGCAAGGCCGCGGGAAGGCACGCAGCCCUCAUCUGGCCGAACCCUGGCGGCUUGGGCCAGAGGAAGCCGCCGGCCCCAGGUCUCCUGAGCCCCCCUGGCCGUGGUGUCCCCCGCUCCGGACAGCUGGCUGAGGGCGGCUGGGCAGGAGGCUAGGCCGCCAGGCUCCCGCCCUCGGCUCUCUGGCCCGCACUGCGCCCCCCCCCAUCCGUAUGGCCCCUUCACCCUAAGGGAGGCUGCUUCACUGGCUACCGUCCGCGGCCCCUGCCCGCUCCAGCUGCUUGGGCAGCAGCGGUUGACUUGAGCAGAAAGAGGAGAGCCAGCAGUCCCCGGCUUCCUGGCCCUGAGCUGAGUCCAGAGCUUCUGCUGGUCUCUGGGAAGGACACAGCUCUGGUCCUGGGGUUGCUCUGAAAACAUGAAGCCUCGAUUUGGAGAUAGACUGGUUCUGCAUUCACCAGGGCCUUUUAACAACAGCAGCGGCAGCGCACGGGUGAGAAGCAUCAAGGCCCAAGAGGAGCGGAGGGCGACUGGCUGCCCAAGAGGCGCUGCGUCCUCCGGGGGCCCAGAGCCCGGACGGCAGCAUGCGUGCCCUGGAGACAGCACUACCCUGGAAGAGCCGAGGGGAUGCCUGGGUUCAGGACAGCAAUGUGACCCUGGCCAUCGAUCAGAGGUACAAGUGGUUGCAGCUCAGAGUGAUCUCGUGUGGACUGACGGCCGUGCCUCCUGUGUCACGUUUUCCUCUCCUGCUCACCCCACCCCUCAUGAGCUUGGAAGGAGGCCAGGGGUGCAGGAGUUGGGAAGGGUUUUUUUCUCCUUGUGUCAGAAAUGCCAUGUCCUGUUUGUAAUGCUGAAACAUACCCGCACACUGCAGGGAGGUUUCUUCUCUUAAAAGUGAGAGGCUGUUCAUUCAAACAGUGUCUGUAGUCUGUAUGGUUAAACUUGAGACAUUUGCCCACUGCAGGCUGGAAUCACCAACGCCGGGCUAGGGAAUGCAUCCAAACCCGAGGAUGGAACUUCACAUCGUAGAGCCAGUAGUGGUGGACGUCAUGGCCUGGAGUUUGCACAUGAAGGUGCUGCUCUCGGCCUGAGCUGCCCUCCGAGAUUUGGCAUGAUGACCUCUCCACCCCGGGUCGGAGGUGUGUGUGGGCUGUGACCGCAGUGCCCUCACAUAGAACUCACGAACACAGGGACCCUGUGCCCACGUUGGCUGGUCUGUAAGUGAGGCGCCGAAUUGCUGUACCUUUCGCUGCCUUGCGAACGCUGCUGUGUCCCCUUGAAGGGGAUUCGGGAGUGCAUGCUGCCACCCUGAGCAGUGUCCUCCCGACCCUGGGGGCCUUACAGAUGGUGCCGUAAACCUCCGUGCAGCUGGCGGCGCUCCAGCGGUGACCGGUGUAAAGCACAGGCUUUUAAUUAUUGUGGCGGUAAAUCAUACAGGAAUGUCCUCCAGGACUUAGCUGAUUUUUAUAUAAAAAAAACCAUUUCAGAGUAUUUUUGAAAUUCAAUUAAUUGAAGGCCCCAGAUAAAAGGAACACAUUCUUAAUGGCUAUAAAAUAACCCUCAGGGAGGAGAGGGGACCACAGAACUCGACUUCAAAGUGUGACAGAAAUACUUACUGUUUUACUUUAAAAGUAUCCAGAUCAAUGACUCAGUCAAAAUUACUUCUACAUUUAGCAACCUUUUCAUUUUCUGCUUAAAUAUGGCAGAAAGAGACGCUCUUAUUGCCCGUGACACAAAAGCUCCUGUAAGGAACUGUGAUCCCUGAUGCUCAGCGGGACACGGCACCUUCUCCUCCGCGGGGCUGACCGCCAACAUGCAGGGCUCGGAGACCCAAGUGGAGGAGGUGUGUCCAUGUUCCUGGGCUGCAUCACAAAGUGCCACAAAGUGGGUGUCUCUCUGGGGUCUGGCGGGAAGACGCCCAAGACCAAGCCCUUGGCGGGACUGGUGCCCCGGAGGCAUGAGGCAGGCCCUACUCCAGCCUCGCUCUGGCCUUGGGUGGCUGCUGGCCACCUGGGGUCUGGACCCAUCAUGCUCGCCUGGCGCUCUCCCUGUGUGUGUAUUGGUCCCCCCUCUAAGAGGCACACGGUUGUCUGGGGUUAGGGCUCACUCUCUCUCCAGCACAUCCUUACCCAGUUACUCCUGUGAUGACCCUGUUUCCAAACGAGGGCACACUCUGGGGUAUUGGGGUUGAAGCUGCAAUGUGUGCAUUCAACCCACAGCACAGGAGCCUGGGCUGCUGCAUGUUCACCUGGGUUUAUUUCUUCAUAUUGACCCCCACCCACCCCCCACUGCCUCAUCAGCACUGUCAGGUCCACAGAAGGGGGAACCCCUGCCCCCAGACCAAGAGCACCUCCCGUGUGUCCAUCAGGAAGGAUCACAUGGCACCCUCAUCCCUAACUGCAUGAGGCCUCUCGGUCACCCCGGCCCCGGGGCAGCUGAGGGGAGUACAUGAGAGCCAGUCCUCUCCUGUCUCCCUCCUGUGUUUUAUCACCAUCGGGCACAUUGUAUCAUUACUUCAUUUCUUUGUCCUUAUUCCCUCCCCUCCUGCACUAGAAUGAAUGCUUCAGGCAGGUUGUUUUGUACGUAGUAGGUGCACAGUAAACACACAGUAGGGGCUUGGUGAAUGUGGAGUUGAUGAGGACGUGUGCACGGCGUUCUUCAUAGAAGAACAGCAGAGUACGGAGACGCCGUUAGGGAGGGUUCUUGCACCUGGAAGGCCACAACUGUUCGUGUAGGGGCCCUGAUGGAGCAUCUCCCAUGUCCCAGCCCCCUGCGGCAGGUUUCGGGGUGUGCCAGCACACGGAGGGAAGAAACCCAUCAGCCCUGCUGGAGCAUACUGUCCUCAGAGAGGGGACAGCAUGAGUGAAGGCAUCACUGAAGGAGCAAACUAUAGGCGCCACUGAAUACCCGCCUUGGGUAUCUGCACCACCACGUUUCCGUGGACUCACCAUGCUAUACUGUUUUCCAGCCCUAACUUCUGGGGGCCAAUGACCUGCUCUCACUGUGUGGUCCUUCCGUCUGGCUGGCUGCACUUUUGCCGGCCUCCAGAACAUUGGGCCCUUUUGCGGACCUCCCUGGGUGGUGGCUGAUGAACUGGCUGAGCAGCGGCAGCCCCGUGGUGACCACAUUCUCUGAACUUUGGCUCUCCCAAGGUUUUACCAAAGGCUCGUACAGUCAUAGGAGGCGUGGUGGACUCUUCCCAGCGUGAUUGCUCUGAUGUUUCUGGUUCACAGCCUGCUCCAUUUUGCCUCUGGUCAAGGGUUGCAAUGAGUCCUUCCUCACAGCCAGCACGGGGCCGGGGCGGGGGGGGUGUCUUUAUGCUGCACACAAGCUCCUUUGCCUGCUGCCAGGGAGGCACUGGACCUUGUGACUGUCUCUGGCUGGCACAUCCACCUGCUGUGGCAGAGGGCAGCACCCGAGAUGACAGGGGCUCAGCCGGGCUCCAUGGAUGAGACAGCCUGCUGCCCGAGGCGGACCCACUGUGAGAGUGAGAAUCGGCCAUGGUUCAAGCCACUGGAUGUUGGGAUUGUUUGUUAUAGCAGCACAACCUGUCCUAUCUGACUCCUACAGUUAUUCAUGACAUUAUAAUUAUUUAUGAUCGUGUGAUUAUGCUGUACAUUAUAUGAUUCCAAAUUAUGACUGUAUGUCACUAUGUAAUUAUACAUUACGAUAUAAUUUUUUAAAAGAAUUUAUUUAUUCAUGAGAGACAGAGAGAGAGAGAGAGAGGCAGAGACACAGAGAGGAGAAGCAGGCUCCAUGCAGGAAGCCUGAUGUGGGACUUGAUCCUGGGACUCCAGGGUCAUGCCCUGGGCCAAAGGCAGGUGCCAAACUGCUGAGCCACCCAGGGAUCCCCACGAUAUAAUUUUCAACACAGAGAAAGCAACUAGAAAGAAAUACUGUCUUAAAGGGAAAAUACAGUAUAUGGGCAAAAUACACAGUGCCACUAAAGGCUGAAGUGGAAGGUGAUGUGUCCGUUAUUGCUGCGUGGGCAGGAGAAAAUAAUGUUUUCAAGAAUGUUUCUUAACUUCCACAUGAAUACUUCCUAUUUGUGAACGUUUCUAGCAGCCACUGGCCCUACUUCUCUGCCCUGUAGGCUCUCUGUAGGACUGCCUAGGUGUCGGCAUGCUGUAGCCACUGGCUGUUUGGACAAGGGUGUCUGGGGGACUUGCCAGCUACUGCACUGACCACCGGUUACAUGGAUCACCAGGACUGUGGUGGAGGGAGCACUGAUGUGACAGGUCUGUAGAAUGUACAGAAAAAUAAAUGAUGCAAUUGCGUGUUGAAGUUUUAAGGUAGCAGUCCAAAACCAGAGAACCAGAGAUGUUCUAGUGUGGCCCUAAAAAAUCAAAACCUGUUUCUUGUAGUUUAGGGAGAUAAGAAUAUUUAAUAUUAUAAUAUUAAUAGUAAAUAAUAAUGUUCAGUAAUAUGUAUUAUUAUUUUAUCUAUUUUUAAUAAUCAGUGCCAAAUAAUGAUAUUUAAUAUUAUCAAUUGUACUUUUGACUAAAUGGAAGUAAAUUGUUUUGACACAGUCAUUUACGUCUCUGUGUAUGAUUUAUGGCUGUGUUCCCAUCACUCCUUUAUCUUUCAGUUUCAAUCUUCCCAUCCAGGCCCCUUUUGAAGUUUGUUUAUCA